rnacentral:rRNA from 1 species
UACGUAGGGUGCGAGCGUUAAUCGGAAUUACUGGGCGUAAAGCGUGCGCAGGCGGUUUGUUAAGACAGGCGUGAAAUCCCCGGGCUCAACCUGGGAACUGCGCUUGUGACUGGCAGGCUAGAGUACGGCAGAGGGGGGUGGAAUUCCACGUGUAGCGGUGAAAUGCGCAGAUAUCGGGAGGAACACCCGUAGCGAAGGCGGCACUCUGGGCCGGAACUGACGCUGAGGAGCGAAAGCGUGGGGAGCAAACAGG